rnacentral:rRNA from 1 species
AUUGAACGCUGGCGGCAUGCUUUACACAUGCAAGUCGAACGGCAGCACAGCGGGGGUAACCCUGCGGGUGGCGAGUGGCGAACGGGUGAGUAAUACAUCGGAACGUGCCCUGUUGUGGGGGAUAACCACGCGAAAGCGUGGCUAAUACCGCAUACGCCCUGAGGGGGAAAGCGGGGGACCCUAAAUAGAGUGAACUGGACAUUACUCCAGUAAUGUUGCGGUUUGUUGUAUUUAGGGCCUCGCGCGAUAGGAGCGGCCGAUGUCGGAUUAGCUAGUUGGUGAGGUAAAGGCUCACCAAGGCGACGAUCCGUAGCUGGUCUGAGAGGAUGAUCAGCCACACUGGGACUGAGACACGGCCCAGACUCCUACGGGAGGCAGCAGUGGGGAAUUUUGGACAAUGGGGGCGAACCCUGAUCCAGCCAUGCCGCGUGAGUGAAGAAGGCCUCGG